UACGAAGGGGGCUAGCGUUGCUCAGAAUUACUGGGCGUAAAGGGCGCGUAGGCGGACAGUUUAGUCAGAGGUGAAAGCCCAGGGCUCAACCUUGGAAUUGCCUUUGAUACUGGCUGUCUUGAGUUCGGGAGAGGUGAGUGGAAUGCCGAGUGUAGAGGUGAAAUUCGUAGAUAUUCGCAAGAACACCAGUGGCGAAGGCGGCUCACUGGCCCGAUACUGACGCUGAGGCACGAAAGCGUGGGGAGCAAACAGG
rnacentral:rRNA from 1 species